rnacentral:pre_miRNA from 1 species
AGAGGGAUUGCUGGGUCAAAUGGGGUUCUAUUCCCAGAUUUCUAAGGAAUCUUCAUACUCCUUUCCACAUUGGCUGCACCAAUAUGCAGUCCCACCAGCAAU